UACAGAGGGGGCAAGCGUUGUUCGGAAUUACUGGGCGUAAAGGGCGCGUAGGCGGCCCGCUAAGUCGAACGUGAAAUCCCCGGGCUCAACCCGGGAACUGCGUCCGAUACUGGUGGGCUCGAAUCCGGGAGAGGGAUGCGGAAUUCCAGGUGUAGCGGUGAGAUGCGUAGAUAUCUGGAGGAACACCGGUGGCGAAGGCGGCAUCCUGGACCGGUAUUGACGCUGAGGCGCGAAAGCCAGGGGAGCAAACGGG
rnacentral:rRNA from 1 species